AUUACCUGUGAUGAUAGAUUCUGCAUGUCAGACUGACCCACCGAAGCACCGUACUGUUCGUACACACCGAUAAAAGGAAAUGGAUGGCAACAGGAACGCCGGCCUUUUGCAAGCUGGAGAAAAUUCUCUCAAACUAGAGGAUUUUGAAAGCUGUGGCCAAACUCAGCCCCCACCACCAGACUUCAUCUUUGGAGGCAUUCCACGGCGUCAUCCUGCGCUUUGCUCCAAAGAAUGUUGUGUUUCCAUUUCUUGGAAUGUUGUGCAGACUGUACCUGGCAGCCCUGCACUACAAUGAAAACGCUGAUCGUGCACAAGCCACUACAUCCACUGGAAACCCUCUGUAUAAACUGCAGUUCCCAAAGGCCAGGAAGGGAGAAUGCAGAGCAAAACCCAUAAAGACUGACCCCACAUUCCGCUACGUUGCCAACUUGAUGGACCUCAUCUUCGACCAAGUCUUUGUGGACCCUGCACCAUUCACACAGGAGCUUUUGAAGAUACCCAUCCCAGAGGACCUGUAUUCCCAAUAU